GAUAAACGCUGGCGGCGUGCCUUAUGCAUGCAAGUCGCACGGACGUCAGGCUUCGGCCUGGCGUGAGUGGCGAACGGGUGAGUAACACGUACGCAACCUGACUGAAGGUGGGGGAUAACCCGCCGAAAGGCGGGCUAAUACCGCAUACAGUCGCCGGUGAGAGUCCGGUGGACAAAAGACCGAAAGGCGCCAUCAGAGGGGCGUGCGGCCGAUUAGCUAGUUGGUGAGGUAAGGCCCACCAAGGCGACGAUCGGUAGCUGGUCUGAGAGGACGGCCAGUCACACUGGCACUGCGACACGGGCCAGACUCCUACGGGAGGCAGCAGUAAGGAAUAUUGCGCAAUGGGCGAAAGCCUGACGCAGCGACGCCGCGUGGGGGA
rnacentral:rRNA from 1 species